rnacentral:rRNA from 1 species
UACGUAGGGGGCAAGCGUUGUCCGGAUUUAUUGGGCGUAAAGAGCGUGUAGGCGGCCAGGUAGGUCUGCUGUGAAAACUCGAGGCUCAACCUCGAGCUGUCGGUGGAAACCAUCUGGCUAGAGUCCGGAAGAGGAGAGUGGAAUUCCCGGUGUAGCGGUGAAAUGCGCAGAUAUCGGGAGGAACAUCCGUGGCGAAGGCGACUACCUGGACCAGCACUGACACUGAGGCACGAAAGCGUGGGGAGCAAACAGG